UUAGACGGGACCCGCACAAGCGGUGGAUUAUGUGGAUUAAUUCGAUGCAACGCGAAGAACCUUACCAGGUCUUGACAUCCCGAUGCUAUUUCUAGAGAUAGAAAGUUACUUCGGUACAUCGGUGACAGGUGGUGCAUGGUUGUCGUCAGCUCGUGUCGUGAGAUGUUGGGUUAAGUCCCGCAACGAGCGCAACCCCUAUUGUUAGUUGCCAUCAUUCAGUUGGGCACUCUAGCGAGACUGCCGGUAAUAAACCGGAGGAAGGUGGGGAUGACGUCAAAUCAUCAUGCCCCUUAUGACCUGGGCUACACACGUGCUACAAUGGUUGGUACAACGAGUUGCGAGUCGGUGACGGCGAGCUAAUCUCUUAAAGCCAAUCUCAGUUCGAAUUGUAGGCUGCAACUCGCCUACAUGAAGUCGGAAUCGCUAGUAAUCGCGGAUCAGCACGCCGCGGUGAAUACGUUCCCGGGCCUU
rnacentral:rRNA from 1 species